CAGGGUAUGCAGAAUGCUGCUCCUAAUACAGCUAGAAGUCCACCUCCUAACAACAUGGGAGGAAUGCCUUACAACAAUAGGGGAGGUAUGCCAGCCAACAACAUGGGGGGAGGAAUGCCGCCUCCUAACAAUAUGGGAGGAAUGCCGCCUCCUAACAAUAUGGGAGGAAUGCCGCCUCCUAACAGUAUGGGAGGAAUGCCACCGCGGAACAACAUGGGAGGAGGAAUGCCGCCUCCUAACAAUAUGGGAGGAAUGCCGCCUCCUAACAACAUGGGAGGAGGAAUGCCGCCGCCGAACAACAUGGGUGGGAUGCCACCGGGUCCACCGAAUCAAGGAUGGUCUGGUAACAUGGGUGGAAAUGCUCAGAAUUUCCAAAAUCCUUACCAAGGUAAUACACAGAAUGUGCAAUAUCCGAAUAACCAUCCGCCAAAUAUGGGCGGGCCUGGUGGGAAUUACCAGUCUU
rnacentral:lncRNA from 1 species